rnacentral:rRNA from 1 species
AUGUUCCCUUUAAAAAAUUCUUGCUUGCAUUUUGGGUUGGUUUCUGCUCUAUGUUCCCUUUUAGCGUUUCUUUCCGUUGUUGUUGCACUCCCUUUUGGGCGUUCAUUGCAUGCCCAGGAUCUUGCAAAUUGUGCCUGUGCCGAGCUUGCUUUUGUGUACGGGCUGCGGAGACGUCGAGGACCUCAAGGUCACCGAUGUUGUGGAGCUGGACGAGGUUUCCGGGCAGUUCAUCGACCGCCUAUUCUUCCUGGAGAAGAUGAUUUACUCUGCCAGGCGGCAGCACUCGAAGCACACAGGAUCCUGAACCUCAACAACAACCCCUACUUUUCUGGGCCCUAA